GAUGAACGCUAGCGGGAGGCUUAAUACAUGCAAGUCGAGGGGUAACAGGGGCUUCGGCCCGCUGACGACCGGCGCACGGGUGAGUAACGCGUACGCAACUUACCUCCAAGCGAGGGAUAGCCCUGGGAAACUGGGAUUAAUACCUCAUGUGAUUAUGAUGCCGCAUGGUGUUAUAAUUAAAGUUCAGGCGCUUGGAGAUGGGCGUGCGUCCUAUUAGCUAGUUGGUGAGGUAACGGCUCACCAAGGCGACGAUAGGUAGGGGGCGUGAGAGCGUGGCCCCCCCANACGGGUACUGAGACACGGACCCGACUCCUACGGGAGGCAGCAGUGGGGAAUAUUGGACAAUGGGCGCAAGCCUGAUCCAGCAAUGCCGCGUGUGUGAAGAAGGCCUGCGGGUUGUAAAGCACUUUUGUUCGGGAAGAAAUCAUGUCGGUUAAUACCCGAUGUGGAUGACGGUACCGAAAGAAUAAGCACCGGCUAACUUCGUGCCAGCAGCCGCGGUAAAGUG
rnacentral:rRNA from 1 species